rnacentral:tRNA from 1 species
GUAGUGGUGGUUCAGUGGUAGAAUUUUUGCCUUCCAUGUAGGAGACCUGGGUUCAAUUCCCAGCCAGUGCA